UAUGAAGGGGGCUAGCGUUGCUUGGAAUCACUGGGCGUAAAGGGUGCGUAGGCGGGUCUUUAAGUCAGGGGUGAAAUCCUGGAGCUCAACUCCAGAACUGCCUUUGAUACUGAAGAUCUUGAGUUCGGGAGAGGUGAGUGGAACUGCGAGUGUAGAGGUGAAAUUCGUAGAUAUUCGCAAGAACACCAGUGGCGAAGGCGGCUCACUGGCCCGAUACUGACGCUGAGGCACGAAAGCGUGGGGAGCAAACAGG
rnacentral:rRNA from 1 species